GAAAAUAUUUAAAAGGCUGCAAUAAAUGUGACAAACAUGAAACUAAAGGAACCUCUUUAAAACUUUAGACUUCAGCUUAUAUAUAGAUGAAUAAAAUUGAAAUAAAAAACUCCGGUAAAAUAUAAGACAUUAAUUUUGAUCCAUAGACUGAUACUGAAGCUGAUCAUCUGUGUCUGAACGAAAGGAUAACAACCUAAGAAAAUGUUAGUUGGAGCAUGGGAAGGACUACCACAUAAAGAAGCUUACCCGGGGUCGGAGUGAUGACUGGGCAGACAGAAUGAGCCAUGUGUAUACCGUGUUUAUACUCCUGGCGUUUGCUGUAUUAGUGAGCACUGCUCACCUUGUUGGAGACAGAAUUAGAUGCUGGACGCCAGCAGAGUUAGUUCACUGGGGCGUAUGAAGACUAUGUUCACAACUAUUGCUGGAUAAAGAAUACGUAUUUUAUUCCACAACAUGACUAUAUACCACGAGAUAUUCAGCUGCAUCAGUUCUGGUAGAAUUUUUCCAACAAAGAGCACUAGAUACUAUUAAACUCGUUGAAGACAAGUUACAGAUAGAAGACUGCGUCAACAGUGCAAGGCAGAAAGCAAUCAGUAUCAACGAAACAUCUGGAAAUCGUCGUUAUGCCGCUCUUUGGAUAAAUACAGGUUGACUUUGUAUUAGCGCUGUUCAAACAGUUGAGCUUGAUUAUGUGCACUUAAGCUCGACUGAGGACCUUGACAUUUAAAACCUGCAGUUAGGCCAGGUGCAACUUCCGGCAUUAAAAUCGUUACAAGAGUACAUAUAUGGACUUGAUAAAGUUCUCGAAAUUGGCAUACGUUGCAUGUAAAGCCACAAUAAAUCAUUAUUGAUUUUUGACGAGGAUGACGGUGAAGUAAUUUGACGUAAGCGAAAUUGUCCGUCAUAUAACCGCUAGUUCAAAGACCCCUUGUCUUAACGCUGCUUCCCUAACAUAUAGUGUCAAUUCAUAUGCUUGUCGGAUGGAUUUGAGAGAUUAUAAAUAUUUAUUUUAUACUUUUUAGAAUGUUUGGAUCUGUCUGUUUGGACUUAACCUUAAAAACGACACGUUACAGUAUUCAGUCAACUCUACUGCCCCUUGGAACAUUAAAGCAAAAUUUACUCAAGAACCAUUGCAAAUUAGUUUUAAAUGAAGCUGGUACGUGUACUGCAACAUUGUCAUCGGCUAUCCAUAUGGACGACAAGCUAAUAUUGUCAAAAUUGCUAGCAGAGCAUGCAUUGUUUGACAAUGGAGUAUUUUUUAGAUUUACAACACUAUGCCUGUUUGAAACACCCCUAACGAGGCUAUGUCCUAAUAUGCUUGUAUUUCUAUUGAGCACAGAAUUACUAAAAAGGUUGGCCACACCCCAAACCGUAAUCACUACUAACAUGGUUCUCUACAUUUACAUAAAGUAGAACUUGCUUAAAAAAUUGUACAUAUCUGCGUUAUUCUGAAGCAUGUGUUCGUCUACGUAACCGUAUAACUUAACCACCAUUCGUUUCUUGCCCCUGCCACCAUUUCUCCGGUCAUUGACAUUACCGGGAGUUCACGUCUCGCAUCCACGGCGGCCUCGUGUUUGGCAUUUCUGGUGGAUUGGUGCCUCGCAUGAUCGGCGAGAUCCUUCCUUACGCUAAUUUUCCUUCAAAAUUGAUGUCGCGACGUCUGGCAUUUCUGACGGACUGUCGUUAAACGUUGCCGGUGUAACGUUGUCA
rnacentral:lncRNA from 1 species